rnacentral:rRNA from 1 species
AACAGGAUUAGAUACCCUGGUAGUCCACGCUGUAAACGAUGUCGACUUGGAGGUUGUGCCCUUGAGGCGUGGCUUCCGGAGCUAACGCGUUAAGUCGACCGCCUGGGGAGUACGGCCGCAAGGUUAAAACUCAAAUGAAUUGACGGGGGCCCGCACAAGCGGUGGAGCAUGUGGUUUAAUUCGAUGCAACGCGAAGAACCUUACCUACUCUUGACAUCCAGAGAAUUUGCUAGAGAUAGCUUAGUGCCUUCGGGAACUCUGAGACAGGUGCUGCAUGGCUGUCGUCAGCUCGUGUUGUGAAAUGUUGGGUUAAGUCCCGCAACGAGCGCAACUCUUAUCCUUUGUUGCCAGCACGUAAUGGUGGGAACUCAAAGGAGACUGCCGGUGAUAAACCGGAGGAAGGUGGGGAUGACGUCAAGUCAUCAUGGCCCUUACGAGUAGGGCUACACACGUGCUACAAUGGCAUAUACAAAGAGAAGCGAACUCGCGAGAGCAAGCGGACCUCAUAAAGUAUGUCGUAGUCCGGAUUGGAGUCUGCAACUCGACUCCAUGAAGUCGGAAUCGCUAGUAAUCGUAGAUCAGAAUGCUACGGUGAAUACGUUCCCGGGCCUUGUACACACCGCCCGUCACACCAUGGGAGUGGGUUGCAAAAGAAGUAGGUAGCUUAACCUUCGGGAGGGCGCUUACCACUUUGUGAUUCAUGACUGGGGUGAAGUCGUAACAAGGUAACC